AUGUAAUAUUGUAUUUAGGUUUAAUUCGUUACUUAAUCGGUUGAAAGUUCGAUUAACUGUUAUCACGAUACCCGACUACUUGCGCUUUCCUGCUCUUCGUAUUAAAAUUUCGGAAAACGCGAUGUUACGAUAAAAUGCAAAAUUCUUCGGAUAAUACGAAACUUUGAAGGUUGCAUCGUCUUCGUAUUCUUUAGAUUCUUCCAGAUGAUUCUUGCGGGAAACGAUAGAAAAAGAAUAAAUUACCUAAAUGUCAACGCGACUUAAUAAAAGCUGUCGUGAUGCGAGAUUCACGUCGUUGUUGUUAAAGCAGAUAAACACAACGCGCUCCAAAGUUACAGAAGUACAUAUCGUGAUGCGAAAUUUCUCUACAUGGCUAUUUACGUAUAAAUAAAUAAAGUUUUUGCAACCAGUGUAAGCACAUAAGCGACCAAUCAGGGAAAUACAGUCGCGCUAUAAAUAGCUUUCAAAAGUGUAUGAUAUUUAAGUAUAUAAUAUUUGCCGACCUAAUAUGAAACAGCGAAGGCGAAGAACGACUCGAAUCACAACAGGUUGACACACCACUUUUUCUCGAAAGAGCGGAACGAACGUGUCGAACACCAAAACGAAGAUGGCACACUGUUUCGAAACGUCUAUAAAGAAAAAAGGAGAUUGUAUCGCGACUUUUGGCUCUUUCGUGAAGAAGAAGAAAACCAGAAAACCGAAAAGCAUCGGUCACUAAGCCCGGUACCUGGCGAAAUGUCACGUUCGAUACCGCGUGUAACGCUUCCUUGCCGCCUCGAGUUUCUAUUUCCACCUUAAAGGAUCUUACACCUGAGCGCUGGAGAGACCCAACUAAAUGUUAAGCCCUUGAACUACAAUCUAUCGGAGCUUUGUGAAAUUCCUCAAAACCUGCUGCAACCUGGUCUUUGUCGCGUGCAGUUAAUGUAAGAUUCACCAAUAAUCGCUUGUAAUUCGUCGAUCGAGUAGUUCGGUAUAGAAACUUUUCCACCGCUGUGUUGCUUCGGUGCUAUUAUCCGCAUCCCGUAUCAGGAUUUGAUUUUUUCAUCGCUCUGCCAGAGACUUCAAUAGUCUUGAGACACUCUUUUUCCUUACGAGACACUACGCUACGUUUUUCUCUUGGCUUUUGUUUGCGGAUGACAAAUGAGGUGCUCAAGUAAGAAAAUAUUUGUUAUUUAUUGUCGAAUAAUACGCUUUUCGUUUAUUCAUCGAUCAAGUACUACAACGUGAUAACGUAACGUGAUAACGUAAGUAUCUCAACGAAAAUGUUGCAGUAUAAUAUGGAUCGUCCGUGUGGCACUGUCUUCUUAGAUAUCGCUGAUACUUUUAAUAGAGCGAAAUGGUUUAAUAGGAGAGAUUCACCGAAACUUAUUCCUAUUAUCAAUGGGAAUUUUAACAAUUUAUAUGCGAACGAAAAAUUAAGUUGAAAUAUUUUUUUCUGCCUUAUA